rnacentral:rRNA from 1 species
AUUGAACGCUGGCGGCAGGCUUAACACAUGCAAGUCGAACGAGCGGCGGACGGGUGAGUAAUGUCUGGGAAACUGCCCGUUGGCGGGGGAUAACUACUGGAAAAGGUAGCUAAUACAGCAUACCAUCGGAUGUGCCCAGAUUGGAUUGGCUAGUAGGUGGGGUAACGGCUCACCCAGGCCACGAUCCCUAGCUGGUCUGAGAGGAUGACCAGCCACACUGGGACCUAGACACGGGCCACGCUCCGACGGGAGGCAGCAGUGGGGAAUUUUGCACAAUGGGGGCAAGCCUGCUACAGCCAUGCCGCGUGUAUGAAGAAGGCCUUCGUGUUGUAAGGUACUUUCGGCGAGGACGCGGUACUCGCAGAAUAAGCACGGGCGAACGCCGUGCCAGCAGCCGCGGUAAUAC